CUUCCAUUUGGAUUUUCCACAGCCUUCUUCCUUCCAUUACUAUAUUUUCUUCCUUCCAUUACUAUAUUUUUCAAGAAAAGUAGGAAAAGUUUAUUCCCUUGUGAUCCUAAAAAUUUUCUACUUCUUUUCGCAUUUGUUUUUGGCUUUGUGUUCAUUGAUCCUUUCAAGAUGAAGAAAGUGACCAACUCGGAUUUGAAAUCAUCCGUCAAUGGUGACGUUGUUGAUGUGUACGGAGAAGAUUCAGCUACCAUUGAGCACAACAUAACUCCUUGGUCUCUCUAUGUUUCUAGUGGGUACCCGCUGCUUAGAUAUCCUCGCUACAACAAAGCACUACUUGCGUGGUCUUCUCCCUCCAGUUGUUCUUGAUCAAAGGCUUCAGGGGAAAAGGCUGGUGAACAAUAUCCGACAAUAUCAGUUUCCAUUACAAAAGUACAUGCCUUGACAGAACUUCAGGAAAGAUGAAUCUCUUCUUCACCAUUAUUUUCUGGCACCCUCUUCUUGGCUUUGUAUGCGUUCCUUCUCCUUUGUUUGUCGCAAUGCGCCUUGGAUAUUGUUUUACUCCUUUGAGAUAAUAACCUCUUUGGGCUGACGUCUAAUGAUUCAUAUGGCUUCUUCAUCUUCGCUUCGACUAAAGUACCAUAUCGUCAUGUAUCUUCCUUUCACCCUUGGUCUCCAUGUGUGAUUCUCUAUGUUAAUAUAUAUGGUGUGGCUAUCGAAUUAGCUUGUCUCUUUGGUCA